rnacentral:rRNA from 1 species
UACGAGGGGGGCAAGCGUUGUUCGGAAUUAUUGGGCGUAAAGAGUGCGCAGGCGGCUGAGUAUGUCGGACGUGAAAUCCCGAGGCCUAACCUCGGAAGUGCAUCCGAAACUACUUGGCUGGAGGUUUGUAGAGGCGAGCGGAAUUCUCGGUGUAGCGGUGAAAUGCGUAGAGAUCGAGAGGAACAACGGUGGCGAAGGCGGCUCGCUGGGCAAAUCCUGACGCUGGUGCACGAAAGCGUGGGUAGCAAAUCGG